rnacentral:rRNA from 1 species
AGCAGCCGCGGUAAUUCCAGCUCCAAUAGCGUAUAUUAAAGUUGUUGCAGUUAAAAAGCUCGUAGUUGAAUUUCGGGAUUGACACAUCGGUCGUGCUCUAAGGGGUAUGAACUGGUGUAGUCAGUUUCUCACCUUCUGGAGAACCGCGAUGUCCUUAAUUGGGUGCCGCGAGGAACCAGGACCUUUACUUUGAAAAAAAUUAGAGUGUUUAAAGCAGGCAUUUUGCUUGAAUACAUUAGCAUGGAAUAAUAAAAUAAGACGGAUGGUUCUAUUUUGUUGGUUUCUAGGAUCACCGUAAUGAUUAAUAGGGAUAGUUGGGGGCAUUAGUAUUCAAUUGUCAGAGGUGAAAUUCUUGGAUUUAUUGAAGACUAACUACUGCGAAAGCAUUUGCCAAGGAUGUUUUCAUUAAUCAAGAACGAAAGUUAGGGGAUCGAAGACGAUCAGAUACCGUCGUAGUCUUAAACCAUAAACUAUGCCGACUAGGAAUCAGACGAUGUUAAUUUUUU